GUUUUUCACUCUAAAUUUUCAGAUCUCUUGUUUUUUUUUUUUCAUUUCUAUUUAUAUUUAUCAACUAUUAUUCAAUUACUAUUAUACCCUUAUUUAUUUAUACUCUCUCUUUAAGCCACUAAGGGCUUUCUAGCCUUUUCCUAAAUCAUUUAAUUCAAAAUAUUACAAUAUGCUAUCUAUUUGUCAUGCUGUGUUCAUUGUAUUCAACAAAUGCUAGAAAGCAAGGUAAGGCAAGUUUCUUACAAGAAUUCUUCAAGCUCUAAAAUCAUGAAAUGUGAAGGGGAUUGCAUGAUCAAUAUGAACCAAGGUGUUAUCAAGGGUGGGGGAUGAUUUACAAGGUAUGAUUGAUGUCAUUUCUCUGCUCAAUGGCUUCCCCAGGUCCAGUGUUUGGUUCAUGAAUUUGUUCUGUUUCCUUUAGAAUGUUGAUUUGUUAUGAGUUUGAAUAAUUCUUUUAUCAUCAGCGUGGCUUGGUAAUGCUGAACUGCAGAUAUUUUUGUUCCAGGUGAUGAGCUAGAUCACUGAGGUGGGGGAAGCAACACUAACAGCAGAACUAAACCUUCCUUUCGGCAUCUUUUUCACAUAAUUAACAAGGUAUAAACUUUUUAAUCUUCUUGUUCAUGUGGAAUAGCAAUGGAUGAAAUUUUCAGCUUUGGUAAACCUGCAGGCCAUUUUUAACACUUCUUUGCUCUGUUGAAAGAGCUAUCGAACUCACACAUGUAAGAAAUGCAAAUGUUUCCUUUCCUUGAUCAUCAAAGGCUGAAGAGCUAUGUACUGCAGUUUGAAAGCAAUUUUGUAUUAAAAACCCUUACGACCUUUCAUUACUUUUAUAUGUGUCUGGAGUAUUUUGGAGGGAGAAAAAGCAAUCAAAUUGUUAAUUUACACUUUACUAUAAUGCUCAUACAUUUUCAAACACUCAUAAUUUCGUUACUACCAAAACCAUUGUUUAAUGUAUCUUUAAAUGUUAUUUCAAUUACUCCAUUCUCGUUUUGAUUCUUCCAUUUCCAUUCUGGACUUUAAUCAGAAGCACCUAAGUUUUCUGCGUUUAAAAUUAUAAAAAUGGAGGACCCAUUUGUCUUCAAACAUCACUAUCCGGAGGCUAAUCAAUGCUUUCUUCCAAUCAGUUCAAUUCAAGCUUGACGGAACUAGACUGCCGAGGAAGCUUUACAUCAUCUAGAUCGACUAGAUUUUAUCAAUGUCCUGGACAGAGACCUCCAUUACUUGCAAGUCCUUUGAUGUCCUGCUCUAAUUUCCAUUUCAGACAAAGUUUUGUUCAUUUCA